rnacentral:rRNA from 2 species
AACGAACGCUGGCGGCAGGCCUAACACAUGCAAGUCGAGCGAGGGAGCAAUCCCUAGCGGCGGACGGGUGAGUAACGCGUGGGAACGUGCCCCUUGGUACGGAAUAGCCCCGGGAAACUGGGAGUAAUACCGUAUGUGGUCGAGAGACGAAAGAUUUAUCGCCAAGGGAUCGGCCCGCGUUGGAUUAGGUAGUUGGUGGGGUAAUGGCCUACCAAGCCGACGAUCCAUAGCUGGUUUGAGAGGAUGAUCAGCCACACUGGGACUGAGACACGGCCCAGACUCCUACGGGAGGCAGCAGUGGGGAAUCUUAGACAAUGGGGGAAACCCUGAUCUAGCCAUGCCGCGUGAGCGAUGAAGGCCUUAGGGUUGUAAAGCUCUUUCGUGGGGGAAGAUAAUGACUGUACCCCAAGAAGAAGCCCCGGCUAACUCCGUG